GUCUAACCCUUUUGGUUAGCUCAGUUGGUAGAGCGCUCCACUGGAAACGGAGAGGUUCCGGGUUCGAUUCCCGGACCGGACA
rnacentral:tRNA from 1 species